CCUACGGGUGGCAGCAGUGGGGAAUAUUGCGCAAUGGGCGAAAGCCUGACGCAGCGACGCCGCGUGAGGGAUGAAGGUCUUCGGAUCGUAAACCUCUGUCAGCAGGGAAGAACGGUCACUGUGCUAAUCAGCAGUGAAUUGACGGUACCUGCAAAGGAAGCACCGGCUAACUCCGUGCCAGCAGCCGCGGUAAUACGGAGGGUGCGAGCGUUAAUCGGAAUUACUGGGCGUAAAGCGCGCGUAGGCGGUAUGUCAAGUCAAGGGGGAAAUCCCCGCGCUCAACGGGGGAACUGCCUUUGAAACUGGCAAACUGGAGUGUGGGAGAGGAUAGUGGAAUUCCAGGUGUAGGAGUGAAAUCCGUAGAUAUCUGGAGGAACAUCAGUGGCGAAGGCGACUAUCUGGCACAUAACUGACGCUGAGGAGCGAAAGCGUGGGUAGCAAACAGGAUUAGAUACCCGUGUAGUC
rnacentral:rRNA from 1 species